GGAGGGGUCGGGUCUCAGGGGUCGAGACCGGUUGGAAGGUUGAACACUUAGGCCUGGAAAACUAAGACAGGGGAUCAGGGCUCCGAUUAAGAUUAACUUGGGAGAUUAGGGGGCCGGUCAUCACAGUAACAUGUACCGACUAGAAAAUCUCAAUUGGCUGCCAUUCAAGAAAAUAAGGUCAACUUGGUCAACUGACCUGCCAUCCACACAACAUGGGGCAAAGAUAGUGUUUGGUGGAAUCCAAUGUGUGCUUUUCC
rnacentral:lncRNA from 1 species